GCCUGGGUGGCUCAGUCAGUUGAGUGUCUGACUUUGGCUCAGGUCAUGAUCUCCCCAGUUCAUGGGUUCGAACCCUGCAUCAGGCU
rfam:Felis catus isolate Cinnamon breed Abyssinian chromosome A2, whole genome shotgun sequence.